CAGAGAGGAGCCGAGGAGAACAGCGUCGUCUGCUCUAUCGUUACGACCGAGGCUUUAUUCAUGGCUGUGACUCCAGGUUCACACUGAUCAAAGAAAAUGAGACUGUGUUUCUCCACCUGCUCAACUUAACAUCUGAAGACAGUGGGAACUACACCUGUGAGUGUGGAUUUCGUGGUGGAUUGUAUGUUCUCCAUCUCAGUGUGACUGUGAGAGACGAUGGAGAUUCUUCUGGCAUGAAGUUCAUGGCUACAGUUCCCAUCAUUUCUGCUGCUGCUUCACUCAUCAGUGUGGCUGUGAUAACCUGUGGUUACAGCCUGAGGAGAAAUCCUCGCAGAGAAAACAGAUCAGGUCUAACUAACUUAACAGGAUCUGAAACUCGCCAGAUGUUUGACAAAGAGGACCGCUACAUGAGCCUUCAUCGGCAAAACAUCGAUGUCUACCAAACUAUCUCCUCCGGUCGCCUUCAUCAUGAUGCUGAGGCCACUGCAUGUCACAGUCAUGUACAAUAAUAAUCAGAGAUGGAGUUUUUAUCCUGACUACGUGAUCUAUAAAACUAUGAUGCUAGACAUGCUAUCUAUAAAAGACACUGACAUUUUAACUUGCCAGCAUCAUGUGUACUGUUAGUUUGUUUUGCACUGAAAAAAGAGAAAAAUAUUAACGUCCAGUAAAACUUGUAAUUAUGUUGUGAAUGAAUUGCCUGAAUUCAUGGCUUUUAACACCAUUUAAUUUCUGUUUUUUAUCUGGUUUGAACGUUGAAAAUCCUGCCACUUGGCUCUGUGGCCUCUGCCACCAUUAUGGUUUUUGCUAUACUGGUCCACUUGAUAGUCAUAUUUGAUGAUGAUUUUACUUUAUUUUGAGUCAUUAGAAUCAGAACGGGGGUCAGGAAAGAAGAAAAAAGAUAAGCUGGGGAGAAAGUUAACAGAAGAAGAGGGAAAAAUAGAGAAGAAGAGAAAUAGAUGGAGAGGAAGAGAGAAAAAAUACUGAAAAUCUAUUUCAUCAUCUGCUGAAAAACACAAGGAAAAACCAACACAGUGGGGAACCCACAGCAACAACCAAUAAUAUGCAGUAAGUAGGCUAGUAAGUAGUAGUAAAUAAUAGAUAUUAAAUGUUACUGAGCAGUAAAUGGGCCCAGAGGGCCGAGACCUGAGGGCACCCCACCCGCAGCACAGGCCCAACAGAGCCAGGGGGCCGGGCCCCACCGAGCAGCCGCCCAGAGUGAGCCACUAAACACAGAGAACCACUAAUGCACUGUGGGUGGGGGCACCAGCUACUGGCAGGAAGUGUGGUGGGGGGAAAUAAUACGUGACUAUUUUUAUGUGGAGUGGAAUUAAACUGCCAUAGAAUAUGCUUGUGGUGGAUUUGACUCAACACAAGCGUAUUGUCAAAGUGUUCUUUGGCAUGCAUCGAGACAGUUUCUCAGAUACUGAAGUGACUUGAGCAGAGCCAGUUAAAGCCUACUGUGCUUGAGUGGGCAGCUCAAGUUUCCACGUGGAAGGUUUAGUGAGACAAAGACAGGAAGUUAAAGCUGCUGACUAAUAAUCUGCAGGUUCCUGAUUUGAGUCUCUGUUAAGAGGAUGGUGUCUCUGAGAUAAUUGCUUUUGUGCAUCGAUAAAUAAACAGGGAAAUAAAUGAAUAGAAAAAAGCAUCCGAGCGGAUGUGCACCGACGGUGUGCCCACUGGUCUUAAAGUGCCUUUGCGCCCCUUACCAUUUAUGGAGGUCCCAUUUGGGCACAUUGGCAUGGACCUAUAGUGUACAUGGAUAUUGCUUUGUAUUAGUUCUGGUAUAUUAUACAACACAAUAACAUGAUGCAGUGCUGCUGUGCACCAUUUCUGCAAAGAGUGUGGUGCAAGCAAGGAAGAUAAGAUAACUCUUGCACAGUCAUACCUAGUACAAUAAUACAACAAAAUUGGAAACUGUCCCACCAUAACACAAUCAUUUAGAUACAAUAUUGGACUUUGUUUACAUGUAACUGCACAAAUAGAAUUUAGAAAUGUAAUUAUUGACAAGAG